rnacentral:rRNA from 1 species
GACGAACGCUGGCGGCGUGCCUAAUACAUGCAAGUAGAACGCACAGUUUAUACCGUAGCUUGCUACACCAUAGACUGUGAGUUGCGAACGGGUGAGUAACGCGUAGGUAACCUGCCUGGUAGCGGGGGAUAACUAUUGGAAACGAUAGCUAAUACCGCAUAAUAUUAAUUAUUGCAUGAUAAUUAAUUGAAAGGUGCAAUUGCACCACUACCAGGUGGACCUGCGUUGUAUUAGCUAGUAGGUGAGGUAACGGCUCACCUAGGCGACGAUACAUAGCCGACCUGAGAGGGUGAUCGGCCACACUGGGACUGAGACACGGCCCAGACUCCUACGGGAGGCAGCAGUAGGGAAUCUUCGGCAAUGGACGAAAGUCUGACCGAGCAACGCCGCGUGAGUGAAGAAGGUUUUCGGAUCGUAAAGCUCUGUUGUAAGAGAAGAACGGGUGUGAGAGCGGAAAGUUCACACUGUGACGGUAUCUUACCAGAAAGGGACGGCUAACUACGUG